rnacentral:rRNA from 1 species
CGUGAGGGAAAGGUGAAAAGAACCCCGGGAGGGGAGUGAAAGAGAACCUGAAACCCUAUGCUUACAAGCAGAUGGAGCACUAUUAGAGAGUGUGACAUUGUACUUUUUGUAGAACGGGCCAGCGAGUUACGAUAUGCAGCGAGGUUAAGGCGUUAAGCGCCGGAGCCGCAGGGAGACCGAGUCUUAAUAGGGCGACAGUUGUAUGUUGUAGACCCGAAACCGGGCGACCUACCCAUGAGCGUGGAGGACCGAACUUAUAUCCGUUGAAAAGGGUUAGGAUGACGUGUGGAUAGCGGUGAAAUUCCAAUCGAACUCGGAGAUAGCUGGUUCUCCUCGAAAUAGCUUUAGGGCUAGCCUCACUUGAAGAUAUAUGGGGGUAGAGCACUGAAUGGGCUAGGGGGUCUCAAAGCUUACCGAACCUUAUCAAACUACGAAUACCAUAUAUUACCUAAGUGGGAGUCAGACGGCGUGAGAUAAGUUUCGUCGUCAAAAGGGAAAGAGCCCAGAUCAUCAGCUAAGGCCCCAAAGUGCAGGUUAAGUGGAAAAGGAUGUGGGACUGCAUAGACAACUAGGAUGUUGGCUUAGAAGCAGCCACUCAUUUAAAGAGUGCGUAAUAGCUCACUAGUCGAGUGGUCCUGCGCCGAAAAUGUCCGGGGCUAAAACCUGCCGCCGAAGCUAUGGGUGCACGUAAGUGCGCGGUAGAGGAGCAUCGUGUAUUGGCAGAAGCGAUACCGAGAGGAGUCGUGGACGAUACAGGAGAGAGAAUGCUGGCAUGAGUAGCGAGAGGGAGGUGAGAAUCCUCCCCAUCGAAAGCCUAAGGUUUCCUGGGGAAGGCUCGUCCACCCAGGGUAAGUCGGGACCUAAGCCGAGGACUAGAUGGUCGUAGGCGAUGGACAACAGGUUGAUAUUCCUGUACUACCUUUAGCGUUAAAACGAGGCAGUGACACAGGAGGAUAGGCAGAGCGGGUUGAUGGUAGAACCCGUCCAAGCAUUUAGGGAGACAGAGUAGUGAAGUACGCUUUGUUGAUAAUUCUGAGAUGUGAUGGGGACAGAAAAUAAGUAUGGAAGCUGCUGAAUCCACACUGGCGAGAAAAGCUGCUAGGAGCGAAGAGGUACCCGUACCGCAAACCGACACAGGUAGGCGAGGAGAGAAUCCUAAGAUGAGCGAGAUAACCAUUGUUAAGGAACUCGGCAAAAUGACCCCGUAACUUAGGGAGAAGGGGUGCCUAGAAAUAGGUCGCAGAGAAUAGGUCCAAGCGACUGUUUAGCAAAAACACAGGUCUGUGCGAAAUCGAGAGAUGAAGUAUACGGGCUGACGCCUGCCCAGUGCCGGAAGGUUAAGGGGAAAUGUUAGUCGAAAGGCGAAGCAUGGAACUUAAGCCCCGGUGAACGGCGGCCGUAACUAUAACGGUCCUAAGGUAGCGAAAUUCCUUGUCAGGUAAGUUCUGACCCGCACGAAUGGCGUAACGAUUUGGACGCUGUCUCAACAAUGGACUCGGCGAAAUUGUAGUACCGGUGAAGAUGCCGGUUACCCGCGAUAGGACGGAAAGACCCCGUAGAGCUUUACUGUAGCUUGGCAUUGGAUUUCGGCAUUGGAUGUACAGGAUAGGUGGGAGACAUGGAAGCGAGUACGCCAGUAUUCGUGGAGUCGCCCUUGGGAUACCACUCUUCUGAUGUUGAGGUUCUAACAACAGGCCGUGAUCCGGCUGUUGGACAGUACCAGGUGGGCAGUUUGACUGGGGCGGUCGCCUCCCAAAGAGUAACGGAGGCGCCCAAAGGUCUCUUCAGCAUGGUCGGAAAUCAUGCAUUAGAGUGCAAAGGCAUAAAGAGGCUUGACUGCGAGAGAGACAUUUCGAGCAGGUACGAAAGUAGGGCUUAGUGAUCCGGCGGUAUGAGAGUGGAAUUGCCGUCGCUCAACGGAUAAAAGCUACCUCGGGGAUAACAGGCU